GACAGGGGGAUGCAAGCGUUACUCGGAAUUACUGGGCGUAAAGCGUCUGCAGGCGUCCUAAAAAGUCUGGUGUAAAACUUUCGGAGCUCAACUCCGGAAGCGUGCCGGAAACUCAUAGGAUCGAGUCACUCAGAGGCACCUGGAAUGUCGUGCGUAGGGGUAAAAUCCGUUGAUCCACGAUGGAACGCCAAAAGCGAAGGCAGGGUGCUGGGGGUGUACUGACGCUCAGAGACGAAAGCGU
rnacentral:rRNA from 1 species